rnacentral:rRNA from 1 species
UACAGAGGUCCCAAGCGUUACUGAGAAUCACUGGGUUUAAAGGGUGCGUAGGUGGUCCGUUAAGUCAGUUGUGAAAUCCCCGGGCUCAACCCGGGAACUGCUUCUGAUACUGGCGGACUUGAGGCCAGUAGGGGUCACUAGAACUGACGGUGGAGCGGUAAAAUGCGUAGAUAUCGUCAGGAAUGCCGGUGGUGAAGACGGGUGACUGGGCUGGUUCUGACACUGAGGCACGAAAGCGUGGGGAGCGAACGGG